rnacentral:rRNA from 1 species
UGGGCGAGCUACCAUGCAAGUCGAACGGUAACAGGAAACAAGCUUGCUGCUUUGCUGACGAGUGGCGGACGGGUGAGUAAUGUCUGGGAAACUGCCUGAUGGAGGGGGAUAACUACUGGAAACGGUAGCUAAUACCGCAUAACGUCGCAAGACCAAAGAGGGGGACCUUCGGGCCUCUUGCCAUCGGAUGUGCCCAGAUGGGAUUAGCUAGUAGGUGGGGUAACGGCUCACCUAGGCGACGAUCCCUAGCUGGUCUGAGAGGAUGACCAGCCACACUGGAACUGAGACACGGUCCAGACUCCUACGGGAGGCAGCAGUGGGGAAUAUUGCACAAUGGGCGCAAGCCUGAUGCAGCCAUGCCGCGUGUAUGAAGAAGGCCUUCGGGUUGUAAAGUACUUUCAGCGGGGAGGAAGGGAGUAAAGUUAAUACCUUUGCUCAUUGACGUUACCCGCAGAAGAAGCACCGGCUAACUCCGUGCCAGCAGCCGCGGUAAUACGGAGGGUGCAAGCGUUAAUCGGAAUUACUGGGCGUAAAGCGCACGCAGGCGGUUUGUUAAGUCAGAUGUGAAAUCCCCGGGCUCAACCUGGGAACUGCAUCUGA